GAAACACACAGCUUGAGAGCAGCAGCGUGCCCCCCGAACUGCUGAGUAAAGUUUGCAUGCGCUGCUUUGUUGUAUUGUAACACCUCUUUCUGUCUUUUUGUUGUUGUUGUUUUGAGCCAGCAGGCAGGUUUGUGUGUGUGUGUGUGUGUGUGUGUGUGUGUGUGUCCGUGCUUGUGGGCUCCAUUGUUUUGCACAGGGCGAUGCUGUUCAUUUCUGUUUGCAGUUCCCACCCUUCUCCUCUCUCAGGCUCGCCGUUUGAAUGAGCUGCCUGCCCUGCGCCGAUUGGCUGUCGCUGGCUGCCAUAUAAGGGCAUAGGCCAGCAGCAGAGGCAGGAAGUAGGAGAGAGUGCAAACUGAAGCCUGAUCAUAAACCAAUAAACUGCACCAACACCUGAAGCUGAUUGGCUGAGAGACACUAAUGAUGGGACAAUAGAAGGAGGAGGAAGUGGAGGAAGGCGGAGGAGGAGAUGGAGGACCGAGAGAAGGGGGAGUUACACCUUUCUUGGCUCAUCUGAUUGGGAACGCUGUGUCGUAUUUCACUUUGACUGAAGCUUCCUGAACAAUCAGGGAUGGACAUGAAGGGGCUUUUACUGUAAACGGGGGCAUUGACGGCAACACAGCUCCACAAUAUGAGAUGUUCUGAUAAAGUCCAGGAGCUGACAUUACAGGAAACAUGCAGAUAUGAUGGUUUGCAAUUCGUUUCAUGUCUUUGGUGAAAACCUGGCGUGGCAGCUCAAAAAUAACCAAAAUACCAGAAUGUGCUCGAGGUUUUCACAGGGACUGUUUCAUAGUGUUUUACACCUGAAGCCGGGUUGUGGACCGUGUGAUCUGGGGGUGAGAACAAAUACCUGGAACUCCACACCGCUCGUUUGGAUGUGGGAAAGCCUCUCGGGUGGAAAAAACAAAAGUUGUCUGCUGCUGAAGCGUUGAGGAUUUCUCAUGACCUGGAUAACUGAGAGUCUACACAGACGUGUGGGUUACAUCAGAACCAGGACUAAUGGACUGAAAACAGCUUCUUUCCAGCUGCUGUCAGAGACAUAGACGCCUCCAUGUUGUAAUAAGUGCAAUAUGUUGUUAAUGUACAACUGCCACUACCUCUGUGCAAUAUACACUGUGCUUAUUAUUUAAUUCAUCUUUUUACAUAGUUUUAUAUUGUAUACGGUUGUUUACAAAGUUUUUAUAUGUUUUUUUGCACUGAAAGGCUUCACCUUGCUCUUUGUUGUACUCGUUGCAAUAACAAUAAAAACAAAUCUGAAUCUUU